GACGAACGCUGGCGGCGUGCUUAACACAUGCAAGUCGAACGGAAAGGCCCUGCUUUUGUGGGGUGCUCGAGUGGCGAACGGGUGAGUAACACGUGAGUAACCUGCCCUUGACUUUGGGAUAACUUCAGGAAACUGGGGCUAAUACCGGAUAGGAUCUCCUGCUGCAUGUUGGGGGUUGGAAAGUUUCGGCGGUUGGGGAUGGACUCGCGGCUUAUCAGCUUGUUGGUGAGGUAGUUGCUUACCAAGGCUUUGACGGGUAGCCGGCCUGAGAGGGUGACCGGGCACAUUGGGACUACGAUACGGACCAGAAUCGUACGGGCGGCAGCAGUGGAGAAUAUUGCACAAUGGGCGGAAGCCUGAUGCAGAAACGCCGCGUGCGGGAUGCCGGCCUUCGGGUUGUAAACCGCUUUCGCAUGUGACGAAGCGUGAGUGACGGUAAUGGGUAAAGAAGCAACGGCUAACUACGUG
rnacentral:rRNA from 1 species